UCCAAAGAAUGAAAGAAUGAUUGUGUCAGGAUCAGGGUGAAAGCGGCAAUUGCCAAUCCAAGAACCAGCAACUCUGAAGAGAACUUGCAGGACAGCUAGUCUUGCAGUCUUGAGUUGUAGGAGCUUUGCCCAUGUUUCCACCUAUGAUGAGGACAGCCCUGCAAAAUCAGCAUGAUAACUUAAAUCUGCAAAAAGGACAAAGAUAAACAGUCUUGUUUGACCAUCUCAGUUCCUUCACAAUGAUGCACUGCAUAAGUCUCUGAAGUCCAAAGAAUGAAAGAAUGAUUGUGUCAGGAUCAGGGUGAAAGCGGCAAUUGCCAAUCCAAGAACCAGCAACUCUGAAGAGAACUUGCAGGACAGCUAGUCUUGCAGUCUUGAGUUGUAGGAGCUUUGCCCAUGUUUCCACCUAUGAUGAGGACAGCCCUGCAAAAUCAGCAUGAUAACUUAAAUCUGCAAAAAGGACAAAGAUAAACAGCCUUGCUCCAAGUGCUGUUUGACCAUCUCAGUUCCUUCACAAUGAUGCACUGCAUGAGUCUCUGAAGUCCAAAGAAUAAAAGAAAGAUUGUGUCAGGAUCAGGGUGAAAGGGGAAAUUGACAA